AGCGAACGCUGGCGGCAGGCCUAACACAUGCAAGUCGAACGAAGCCUUCGGGCUUAGUGGCGGACGGGUGAGUAACACGUGGGAACGUGCCCUUUGGUACGGAAUAACUCAGGGAAACUUGAGCUAAUACCGUAUGUGCCCUUCGGGGGAAAGAUUUAUCGCCAUUGGAGCGGCCCGCGUCUGAUUAGCUAGUUGGUGAGGUAAAGGCUCACCAAGGCUGCGAUCAGUAGCUGGUCUGAGAGGAUGAUCAGCCACAUUGGGACUGAGACACGGCCCAAACUCCUACGGGAGGCAGCAGUGGGGAAUCUUGCGCAAUAGGCGAAAGCCUGACGCAGCCAUGCCGCGUGAAUGAUGAAGGUCUUAGGAUUGUAAAAUUCUUUCACCGGGGACGAUAAUGACGGUACCCGGAGAAGAAGCCCCGGCUAACUUCGUGCCAGCCGCCGCGGUAAAAC
rnacentral:rRNA from 1 species